rnacentral:lncRNA from 1 species
AUGCCCGAUCCACCUGUACUUGGAGCUCCACCUCGCACUGGGCUCCCACUAGCAUCUUUCAUGGUAGAUGGCUUCUCUUUGCACAAGAUGCAAAGAGAGCAUCGAUCCAUCCUUCAUGGUUGAUCUCUAUCUUGAUUGUGCCUAUCUUUUCUAUCUUCUUCAAUCUUGAUCAACACCAUCGCAAUUUGAGCAAUCGCACACUCUGGUACCAUCUGGCUCUGAUACC